AGUGAACGCUGGCGGUAGGCCUAACACAUGCAAGUCGAACGGCAGCACAGUAAGAGCUUGCUCUUACGGGUGGCGAGUGGCGGACGGGUGAGGAAUACAUCGGAAUCUACUUUUUCGUGGGGGAUAACGUAGGGAAACUUACGCUAAUACCGCAUACGACCUACGGGUGAAAGCAGGGGAUAUUCGGACCUUGCGCGAUUGAAUGAGCCGAUGUCGGAUUAGCUAGUUGGCGGGGUAAAGGCCCACCAAGGCGACGAUCCGUAGCUGGUCUGAGAGGAUGAUCGGCCACACUGGAACUGAGACACGGUCCAGACUCCUACGGGAGGCAGCAGUGGGGAAUAUUGGACAAUGGGGGCAAGCCUGAUCCAGCCAGACCGCGUGGGUGAAGAAGGCCUUCGGGUUGUAAAGCCCUUUUGUUGGGAAAGAAAAGCAGCAGGUUAAUACCCCGCUGUUCUGACGGUACCCAAAGAAUAAGCACCGGCUAACUUCGUG
rnacentral:rRNA from 1 species